rnacentral:rRNA from 1 species
CAGUAGCCGCGGUAAUACAGAGGCCUCAAGCGUUGUCCGGAAUCACUGGGCGUAAAGGGUGCGUAGGCGGCGUGGAAAGUCAGAUGUGAAAUCCGGGGGCUCAACCCCCGAAUUGCAUCCGAUACUCCCAUGCUAGAGAAUUGGAGGGGGAUCUGGAAUUCUCGGUGUAGCAGUGAAAUGCGUAGAUAUCGAGAGGAACACUAGUGGCGAAGGCGAGAUCCUGGACAAUUUCUGACGCUGAUGCACGAAGGCCAGGGUAGCGAACGGGAUUAGAUACCCCCGUAGUCCCUGUCUCUUAUAC